rnacentral:rRNA from 1 species
CGUAUCCAACCUGCCCUUUACUCGGGGAUAGCCUUUCGAAAGAAAGAUUAAUACCCGAUGGCAUAAUGAUUCCGCAUGGUUUCAUUAUUAAAGGAUUCCGGUAAAGGAUGGGGAUGCGUUCCAUUAGGUUGUUGGUGAGGUAACGGCCCACCAAGCCUUCGAUGGAUAGGGGUUCUGAGAGGAAGGUCCCCCACCAUUGGAACUGAGACACGGUCCAAACUCCUACGGGAGGCAGCAUG